GACGAACGCUGGCGGCGUGCUUAAUACAUGCAAGUCGAACGAGAAGCUGACUUCGGUCAGUGGAAAGUGGCGGACGGGGGAGUAAUAUGUAGGAAAUCUGCCUUUACGAGGGUGACAACAGAGGGAAACUUCUGCUAAUACCCCAUAUGAGCGUAGCUGCCAUGCUAUUCUUGAAAACUCCGUUGCCUAAAGAUGGGCCUGCAUCAGCUUAGCUAGUUGGUAGUGUGAUGGUCUACCAAGGCGACGAUCAGUAGCAGGGUGUAGAGGAUGAUCAGCCAAAAUGUGAGUGAGACACCGCCCAGACUCCUUCGGGAAGGAGCAGUAGGGAAAUUUACGCAAAGGGCGAAAGCCUGAAGCAGCAUCGCGGCGUGAACGAUUAAUGCCUUCGGAGUGAAAAGUUCUGUUAGUGGGGACGAAACUUGACGGUACCCAAAGAGGAAGCACCGGCUAACUCCGUG
rnacentral:rRNA from 1 species